rnacentral:lncRNA from 1 species
UUACAAGUUACUCUAAUAGAGCUUAAAUUAAAAUUACAAAAAGUUCUUGCUGAUAAUCCCAAAAAAGUAGUUACAUAGUUCUCCAAAAAAAAGGAAGUUUCAAAUUAAAUUUACAAAAAAAAAAAAAAACUCCAAAUAAUCCAAAUUUACACAAAAAUCCAAAGGAGCAUUUGAUUAAUUUACAGGUUACAAAAAUAAUCUAAAAUUCUGAAAAUAAUUGAAUGGAGUCUAAUGGUUUGAAGAGUCUUCAGAGACUUUUUCCAAAGCCAAAGGUCCUUUCGUGUAGUGCCCCAACUCAAAAAGCCAGCGC